AUUGAACGCUGGCGGCAGGCUUAAUACAUGCAAGUCGAGGGGCAGCAUGACUGUAGCAAUACAGUUGAUGGCGACCGGCAAACGGGUGCGGAACACGUACAGAACCUUCCUUCGAGCGGGGAAUAGCCCAGAGAAAUUUGGAUUAAUACCCCAUAGUAUUACGGAGUGGCAUCACUUUGUAAUUAAAGAUUUAUCACUUGAAGAUGGCUGUGCGGCUGAUUAGGUAGUUGGCGGGGUAACGGCCCACCAAGCCUGCGAUCAGUAACUGGUGUGGGAGCACGACCAGUCACACGGGGACUGAGACACGGGCCCGACUCCUACGGGAGGCAGCAGUAAGGAAUAUUGGUCAAUGGACGAAAGUCUGAACCAGCCAUGCCGCGUGGAGGAUGAAGGUCCUCUGGAUUGUAAACUUCUUUUAUAUGGGACGAAAAAGGGUCUUUCUAGAUCAACUGACGGUACCAUAUGAAUAAGCACCGGCUAACUCCGUGCCAGCCGCCGCCGUAACAC
rnacentral:rRNA from 1 species